CCUGAAAUGUAGACUACUGGUUUUCGGUGAUUGC
rnacentral:sRNA from 1 species